rnacentral:misc_RNA from 1 species
UCGCAUAUAUGUAUAUAGUAUACUAUAUACAUAUAUACACAUAAAUAUACAUAUGCAGGACGGACAUUUUAAGCAGCCGUGCCGCUACAUGUGAGGAUGGGAUGGAAACUUUUCGAUGAAGAGUUUUCGGUGUUCCCAACGUUCACAAAUGAAUAAAAUGGGUAUCGUUAUGUGCAAAUUUGAUUUUACAAAUGUUUAUAAAUGUUGGAGCUUUGCNAAAAUGCAAACUCGUCGAAUAUCCUGAAGUCACGAGCGAGCGUGAAUGGGGNAAUUCAUAAGCGAGUUCGUU